rnacentral:lncRNA from 1 species
UAUGCAUUCUCUUCUAAGUUCUUUACUUGGGCAUAGAACAUGCCCGGUGUUAAAAUAGCUUCAGCUAAAUAGUCCAAAUUUUAGGAAAAUAUCUGCAUAUUUAGGAGAAUAAUUAUGCAUGGCCUUUUAUGGGUGUGAUAAACUAUACCAUCAAAGAAAGUGUAUCCUUUUGUCAUACAGGCCAUUACCAACAGCAGAUUACACAUUAUAUAUAAGGCAUAGUUUAGAUAGAAGCCUAAAAAUUCCUUGGGUUACUGUGCAGACUUGUCACAUCAGAAAUGUUCUAACCUUAAUACAGGUUAUAAUUAGGACACAUUUAUUCUUUCUUAUUUCCUAGGUUAUGCAAGUAGAUUUGAUACCUGGUCACUUGUAGGAUAAAGACGGGACAGCAGAAAAGCACGUAACCUCUGAUUAAAUCGUUUUUCAGGGCAGAGUGACCUUUGUGCCACUUGCUUGUAGUGAAGAAAGAUAGAACUUCUUCAGCUCAAAAUAAACAGUUCUCUCUGGAAGUCAGUUUUCUGAGUAGUCUACAUACGGGCUUUUUUGAAAUGAGGCUUGAGCUGGUUUCAGACUCAAACUGGUAUUAAUUGCCAACCACUAUGAUACUUUUAGGGUAUUAGGGAUGUAUAUGUUGGAGGACAGGAGAAAAAUGGAGAUUACCUAGAGAUGAGAGAUAAAAGUCCUGCGUCAGGGAAUUUGGGGCUGAGAGGCAAAACUGAAUUCUUUUAUUAAACAUGUUCCAGAGAAACAAGAGUGAAAGCUUCAAAACAUAGAAAAGGAUACUGAGGAAGACCACGAGGAAAAACCAGAAGAUGGCCAUCCACAAGCCUAGGAGAGUAGCCUCAGAAGAAACCAUCCCUGCUGACAUCUUGAUCUUGGACUUCUAGACUCCAGAAUUUUCCAGCUACUGGGAGACUGAGUUGGAAGGAUCACUUGAUCCCAAGAGUUUGAGUCCUGCCUAGACAACAUAGAAAGACCCCAUCUCUAAU